GAUCUCCCCAAGCUUACCACAGGCUCUGCUCUCGUUUGGAGAACCUGUACAGGAAGGGGAGGCAGAGCAAGAUCCCUGUUACACCCCAGUCCGGCUCUUCCUGUGGCCUGGGCUGGAUUGUUGUCAGGGAGACACAG